UGGGGAAUUUUGCACAAUGGGGGAAACCCUGAUGCAGCGACGCCGCGUGAUUUAGAAGGCCUUCGGGUUGUAAAAAUCUUUUUUACGGGAUGAAAAUGACAGUACCGUAAGAAUAAGGUCCGGCUAAAUACGUGCCAGCAGCCGCGGUAAUACGUAUGGACCGAGCGUUGUCCGGAAUCUUUGGGCGUAAAGGGUACGUAGGCGGCCUAGUAAGUUAGAAGUGAAAUAAUAUAGCUCAACUAUAUAAAGCUUUUAAAACUGCUAGGCUUGAGAGAUGGAAGGGAAAGUGGAAUUCCUAGUGUAGCGGUGAAAUGCGCAGAUAUUAGGAAGAAUACCGGUGGCGAAGGCGACUUUCUGGUCAUCAUCUGACGCUGAGGUACGAAAGCGUGGGUAGCAAACAGG
rnacentral:rRNA from 1 species